rnacentral:rRNA from 1 species
ACGGGUGAGUAAUGUCUGGGGAUCUGCCCGAUAGAGGGGGAUAACCACUGGAAACGGUGGCUAAUACCGCAUAACGUCGCAAGACCAAAGAGGGGGACCUUCGGGCCUCUCACUAUCGGAUGAACCCAGAUGGGAUUAGCUAGUAGGCGGGGUAACGGCCCACCUAGGCGACGAUCCCUAGCUGGUCUGAGAGGAUGACCAGCCACACUGGAACUGAGACACGGUCCAGACUCCUACGGGAGGCAGCAGUGGGGAAUAUUGCACAAUGGGCGCAAGCCUGAUGCAGCCAUGCCGCGUGUAUGAAAAAGGCCUUCGGGUUGUAAAGUACUUUCAGCGGGGAGGAAGGCGAUAAGGUUAAUAACCUUGUCGAUUGACGUUACCCGCAGAAGAAGCACCGGCUAACUCCGUGCCAGCAGCCGCGGUAAUACGGAGGGUGCAAGCGUUAAUCGGAAUUACUGGGCGUAAAGCGCACGCAGGCGGUCUGUUAAGUCAGAUGUGAAAUCCCCGGGCUUAACCUGGGAACUGCAUUUGAAACUGGCAGGCUUGAGUCUCGUAGAGGGGGGUAGAAUCCCAGGUGUAGC